UGUGGUGUGGCUCAGCGACAGAGUGCUCACCUAGCACGUUCAAAGCCCUGAGUUCGAUCCUCAGCACCACAA
rnacentral:tRNA from 1 species